rnacentral:rRNA from 1 species
CCCAGCUUGCUGGGGGAUUAGUGGCGAACGGGUGAGUAACACGUGAGUAACCUGCCCUUAACUCUGGGAUAAGCCUGGGAAACUGGGUCUAAUACCGGAUAUGACUCCUCAUCGCAUGGUGGGGGGUGGAAAGCUUUUUUGUGGUUUUGGAUGGACUCGCGGCCUAUCAGCUUGUUGGUGAGGUAAUGGCUCACCAAGGCGACGACGGGUAGCCGGCCUGAGAGGGUGACCGGCCACACUGGGACUGAGACACGGCCCAGACUCCUACGGGAGGCAGCAGUGGGGAAUAUUGCACAAUGGGCGCAAGCCUGAUGCAGCGACGCCGCGUGAGGGAUGACGGCCUUCGGGUUGUAAACCUCUUUCAGUAGGGAAGAAGCGAAAGUGACGGUACCUGCAGAAGAAGCGCCGGCUAACUACGUGCCAGCAGCCGCGGUAAUACGUAGGGCGCAAGCGUUAUCCGGAAUUAUUGGGCGUAAAGAGCUCGUAGGCGGUUUGUCGCGUCUGCCGUGAAAGUCCGGGGCUCAACUCCGGAUCUGCGGUGGGUACGGGCAGACUAGAGUGAUGUAGGGGAGACUGGAAUUCCUGGUGUAGCGGUGAAAUGCGCAGAUAUCAGGAGGAACACCGAUGGCGAAGGCAGGUCUCUGGGCAUUAACUGACGCUGAGGAGCGAAAGCAUGGGGAGCGAACAGGAUUAGAUACCCUGGUAGUCCAUGCCGUAAACGUUGGGCACUAGGUGUGGGGGACAUUCCACGUUUUCCGCGCCGUAGCUAACGCAUUAAGUGCCCCGCCUGGGGAGUACGGCCGCAAGGCUAAAACUCAAGGAAUUGACGGGGGCCCGCACAAGCGGCGGAGCAUGCGGAUUAAUUCGAUGCAACGCGAAGAACCUUACCAAGGCUUGACAUGGGCCGGACCGGGCUGGAAACAGUCCUUCCCCUUUGGGGCCGGUUCACAGGUGGUGCAUGGUUGUCGUCAGCUCGUGUCGUGAGAUGUUGGGUUAAGUCCCGCAACGAGCGCAACCCUCGUUCCAUGUUGCCAGCGCGUAAUGGCGGGGACUCAUGGGAGACUGCCGGGGUCAACUCGGAGGAAGGUGGGGACGACGUCAAAUCAUCAUGCCCCUUAUGUCUUGGGCUUCACGCAUGCUACAAUGGCCGGUACAAAGGGUUGCGAUACUGUGAGGUGGAGCUAAUCCCAAAAAGCCGGUCUCAGUUCGGAUUGGGGUCUGCAACUCGACCCCAUGAAGUCGGAGUCGCUAGUAAUCGCAGAUCAGCAACGCUGCGGUGAAUACGUUCCCGGGCCUUGUACACACCGCCCGUCAAGUCACGAAAGUU